AGCGCGGGAGUCCCCGCCAGGCCCACGCCGGCCGGUUGGGGCGAAGGGUGUCCCCGGCUGCGCCAGCCUUGGGUAGAUAUUCUCGCUAAAAGAUUCCUGUGCCCUCAGGUGGGCGCCCUUUCCUCUCCCUCCUCCCUCUCCUCCGGAGCGGGCCGAGCAAAGUAUCCAGAGAUAAAGUCCUUGAUGAAACCUGAUCCCAAUUUGAUAUGGAUUAUAAUUAUGAUGGUUCUCACCCAGUUGGCUGCAUUUUACAUAGUAAAAGACUUGGACUGGAAAUGGGUCAUAUUUGGGGCCUAUGCGUUUGGCAGUUGCAUUAACCACUCAAUGACUCUGGGUAUUCAUGAGAUUGCCCACAAUGCUGCCUUUGGCAACUGCAAAGCAAUGUGGAAUCGCUGGUUUGGAAUGUUUGCUAAUCUUCCUAUUGGGAUUCCAUAUUCAGUUUCCUUUAAGAGGUAUCACAUGGAUCAUCAUCGGUACCUUGGAGCUGAUGGCGUUGAUGUAGAUAUUCCUACCGAUUUUGAGGGCUGGUUCUUCUGUACCGCUUUCAGAAAGUUUAUAUGGGUUAUUCUUCAGCCUCUCUUUUAUGCCUUUCGACCUCUGUUCAUCAACCCCAAACCAAUUACUUAUCUGGAA
rnacentral:sRNA from 1 species